rnacentral:rRNA from 1 species
GAUGAACGCUGGCGGCGUGCCUAAUACAUGCAAGUCGAGCGAACGGACGAGAAGCUUGCUUCUCUGAUGUUAGCGGCGGACGGGUGAGUAACACGUGGAUAACCUACCUAUAAGACUGGGAUAACUUCGGGAAACCGGAGCUAAUACCGGAUAAUAUUUUGAACCGCAGGGUUCAAAAGUGAAAGACGGUCUUGCUGGCACUUAUAGAUGGAUCCGCGCUGCAUUAGCUAGUUGGUAAGGUAACGGCUUACCAAGGCAACGAUGCAUAGCCGACCUGAGAGGGUGAUCGGCCACACUGGAACUGAGCCACGGUCCAGACUCCUACGGGAGGCAGCAGUAGGGAAUCUUCCGCAAUGGGCGAAAGCCUGACGGAGCAACGCCGCGUGAGUGAUGAAGGUCUUCGGAUCGUAAAACUCUGUUAUUAGGGAAGAACAUAUGUGUAAGUAACUGUGCACAUCUUGACGGUACCUAAUCAGAAAGCCACGGCUAACUACGUG